rnacentral:rRNA from 1 species
UACAGAGGGUGCGAGCGUUAAUCGGACUUACUGGGCGUAAAGCGUGCGUAGGCGGCUUUCUAAGUCAGGGGUGAAAUCCUGGAGCUCAACUCCAGAACUGCCUUUGAUACUGGAGAGCUCGAGUCCGGAAGAGGUGAGUGGAACUCCGAGUGUAGAGGUGAAAUUCGUAGAUAUUCGGAAGAACACCAGUGGCGAAGGCGGCUCACUGGUCCGGUACUGACGCUGAUGUGCGAAAGCGUGGGGAGCAAACAGG